GUUCCUUUAUUUCUUAAGUUGUCUGGUUAUGUCAAAUAGUUUAAAAGGGCCUUAGGACAUAUUUUGUUAUGUGGAAGCUGUCUCCUUUCAAAUAUUUUUCCACAAAGCAAGUAUAGCUAGUUAUUCACGGUGGUGUUUGGGGAAUUUUGUUCAGAGUUUAUUUUGAAUCCCGUAUUUAUUUCUAUUUGUUCUGUAGGUGCUGAUGAGUUAAAAGAUAACUAUCAUCCCUGCCCUAUUUUGAUUAGGUCCUUGUUUAUUUUAAAGAGGUAUUUAUGGGAUAUAAAAUGGUUAGUUGAAAGCUAGCCAGUAAUGCUAAGACAAAUCAGUAGGAUUGUUUUUUUUUUUCAUGUGACGUAUUUGGAAAUCUACUUUUAUGGAUUCAGUGUGAGGCAGUUGCCUUGUGCAGUUUUUGUCAUAUGUUAAUAAAAUGUUGUAUUUGGCUACUUUAGCUUUGGGAUUCAUGUAUAAUGUACUUUAUGUUUAAUUUAGUGAUUUAUUUAUGUAUUUUGGUUAAUCCAGUAGUUACUUCAGUAUAUUCCAGUUGAACAACU
rnacentral:lncRNA from 1 species